UACAUGUGGGGCAAGCGUUGUUCGGAAUUACUGGGCCUAAAGGGUGCGUAGGUGGUUUGUUUAGUCAGGGGUGAAAUCCCGCGGCCCAACCGUGGAACUGCCUUUGAUACUGGCGAACUUGAGUGCGUGAGGGGUAGGGGGAACGAGCAGUGUAGCGGUGAAAUGCGUAGAUAUUGCUCGGAAGGCCAGAGCCGAAGGGGCCCUACUGGUACGUAACUGACACUGAGGCACGAAAGCGUGGGGAGCAAACAGG
rnacentral:rRNA from 1 species